AUUGAACGCUGGCGGCAGGCUUAACACAUGCAAGUCGAGCGGGGGAAGGUAGCUUGCUACCGGACCUAGCGGCGGACGGGUGAGUAAUGCUUAGGAAUCUGCCUAUUAGUGGGGGACAACAUCUCGAAAGGGAUGCUAAAACCGCAUACGUCCUACGGGAGAAAGCAGGGGAUCUUCGGACCUUGCGCUAAUAGAUGAGCCUACGUCGGAUUAGCUAGUUGGUGGGGUAAUGGCCUACCAAGGCGACGAUCUGUAGCGGGUCUGAGAGGAUGAUCCGCCACACUGGGAUUGAGACACGGCCCAGACUCCUACGGGAGGCAGCAGUGGGGAAUAAUGGACAAUGGGGGGAACCCUGAUCCAGCCAUGCCGCGUGUGUGAAGAAGGCCCUAUGGUUGUAAAGCACUUUAAGCGAGGAGGAGGCUACUUUAGUUAAUACCUAGAGAUAGUGGACGUUACUCGCAGAAUAAGCACCGGCUAACUUUGUGCCAGCAGCCGCAGUAA
rnacentral:rRNA from 1 species